CCCAGCUCGUCAUGCUAGAGUACUUUUUCAAUGGGCUCCCCAACGACAAGGUGACGACGCAUUCGUAUGUCAUCCAUAUCAACUUUCGAUGCUACUUUCUGCGCCUACCAUGGUGACCACGAGUAACAGGGAAUUAGGGUUCGAUUCCGAAGAGGGAGCCUCAGAAACAGCUACCACAUGCAAGCAAUGCAGCAUGCACGUAAAUGACCUACUCCCGACUCGGGAAGGUAGUGACG
rnacentral:rRNA from 1 species